rnacentral:rRNA from 1 species
AUUCCGGUUGAUCCCGCCGGAGGCCAUUGCUAUUGGGAUCCGAUUUAGCCAUGCUAGUUGUACGAGUUCAGACUCGUAGCGAAUAGCUCAGUAACACGUGGCCAAACUACCCUUCGGACCACGAUACCCUCGGGAAACUGAGGUUAAUAGUGGAUCACACACUCAUACUGGAAUGUCGAGUGUGUCAAACGCUCCGGCGCCGAAGGAUGUGGCUGCGGCCGAUUAGGUAGAUGGUGGGGUAACGGCCCACCAUGCCCAUAAUCGGUACAGGUUGUGAGAGCAAGAGCCUGGAGACGGUAUCUGAGACAAGAUACCGGGCCCUACGGGGCGCAGCAGGCGCGAAACCUUUACACUGCACGAGAGUGCGAUUAGGGGGACUCCGAGUGCGAGGGCAUAUAGUCCUCGCUUUUCUGUACCGUAAGGUGGUACAGGAACAAGUGCUGGGCAAGACCGGUGUCAGCCGCCGCGGUAAUACCGGCAGCACGAGUGAUGGCCGAUAUUAUUGGGCCUAAAGCGUCCGUAGCUUGCUGUGUAAGU